rnacentral:rRNA from 1 species
UACGAAGGGGGCUAGCGUUGCUCGGAAUCACUGGGCGUAAAGCGCACGUAGGCGGAUUGCUAAGUCAGGGGUGAAAUCCUGGAGCUCAACUCCAGAACUGCCUUCGAUACUGGAAGACUCGAGUCCGGGAGAGGUGAGUGGAACUGCGAGUGUAGAGGUGAAAUUCGUAGAUAUUCGCAAGAACACCAGUGGCGAAGGCGGCUCACUGGCCCGGUACUGACGCUGAGGUGCGAAAGCGUGGGGAGCAAACAGG